GAUCAAGGAGAGAGAGAGAGAGAGAGAGUGAGUGGGAGAACGAGCUCUAGCCCACCACCGUCCACCUUUUCCGUCGCCGGCGCCUAUUCCGGCCAAAUCUGGCCAAAAUUUUUACACCAUUCUCUUUCUCUCUUCAUGGGCUUUCUAUUGAUAUAUGUUUCAAGACCUAUCAUCAAGUGUGCGCGACGAAUCGAAGGAGAGAAGAUUGAGUGAUUUUCCGACUAUUUUUCAAAUUCCUGCCAAACCAUUGAGAAUUUGGAGAAACCCCAAGGUAAUCCAAUUGAGCAAGCUUCCGAUGACAUUCCCGAGACGGAACUCACCUAGUCACCCUUCAUUGGCUCUUUGGAUUUCUGUUUUGCCCAGAUAGUAGAUUUUGCUGAGGUCAGACCGCACCACGUUGAGGCAUUCUCCUUAUCCACCGUCAUCCAUCUUGACUUGUAGGAUUUGUUUCCUUUUGUACUUUUAUAUUUCUUAGUUAAUUAGACCAUGUAACUUAUGCUCUGAUGUAACCAUAAAUUGACUACUGGAUUCCUAAGAUGUAAUUGUUGGGUUAGAACCCCUGGCUUUGGUUGGUGGUGGAUGUUUUUGUGGAGGGCAUGAGGUCCUAUUCGGAAGUUAUUGGAGAUUUAUGAUAUUAGAAGUAUAUUAUUGGAUUUUACAAGUUCUUGGGUAGUCCAUUUUUAGGGGAGGUUAUGUCGAAUUUUCGAUAAAACGUUUCUCUAAUUUAGUCUAUACAGAUCCACCUCAUAUUCCACCUUGGAAUCCGGGAGCGGGUCUGUCAGUCUCUAAAGUGCCAGUCUUAAUUCAGAUCAUGUGAAAUUGAUAAUUAUCUCGAGUUGAAGUAGAGAAAGUGGCUUAUGGAUGAGAAAUUGACUCCUAUUUGUUUGCUGGGAAGUAGCUCUUUUUUCAUACCACAAUUACAUGCCUGGCGGAUGGAGAGCUAGAAGGUGAUUUUUCCUCAAAAGACAAGGAGUUG